GUUUUUUUCUUUAACAGUGUCUACCCAGUCGAUUUCGAGGUGUUCGAGUAUAAAUUUUUCAUUAAAACGACAUUCAAAGUUCUCGAACAUUCUGCACUGAUCUCGUGGGCGCUGCUCGAAUCAACGUUCAACUUGACUAUCAAUGUUGACACCGUGCAUACUCUGCCACUAAUAUUGGCCGUGUGUUCAAUCGCACCGAAUAGCACCUGCGCAGAAAUAUCUAGACGACGUCUCAUCGUACCAUCGGUAUAUACUUCCAAUACUGGAUGAGGACUGGCGAACAAUCAAUGUGCUAAUUGGCUUAUGCUGGUAAAUCUACACACAAAUGCAAUAACGACAGAGAGAUGGAGCGAGAACGAGGCGCACAACGUCCGCGGAACUUCCGAUGUUUCCUUGGGCACAAAGGGCGUGGAAAAGCGCGGAUGCUCGGGACAGUGCUAAUUUGAGCAGAGAGCAAAGAGAAUGCGGGCAGUGGCGACAGCAGCAGCGGCAUAUUAACUAAGCAGAACGCAUCAAGCGCUAAAUUCAAUCAAUAGACCUCGCGAGCUUUCAUACGAUAUGAAUGGAAUCUGUGAUGAUGUGACGUUCACAUGUAAUAAACAAACGAAGAGAUAAAUAUGUACAUUAAAUAAGCGCUUUAUGAAUUCGAUGCAUUAAAAAUAGAAUUCACAAUAAGAGCGAUUAGUAAUGAAAUAGCUUCGGCGUUGAAGUUUAUAAUCAGAUCGGAAAAAUUGAUCGACCAAAUUUUACGAAGUAUUCGAAGAAAAAAACUGGAAACAAGAAACAAAUUAGCCAACAUUGGGAUGUUUUUUUCGCAAUUGUUUUGUCGAAA